rnacentral:lncRNA from 1 species
AUAGGAAUGGAGAUUCAUAUCAUCCAUCUCCAUUCAUUUAUAUGGGCGCCUUAACUAUCGUUUUUGCUACCAAAAUCCUUCUUCAAUCCCUUUUCUUAUAAGAUUUAUAUAUUAUAUGCCUUAAACACCAAAUUAAAGAACCAAAAUAAAACUUUAAGGAUUACCAAUGUCUAACAAAGAUGACUCUAAAUGUAUAAAGUUACUACCAAUAAGAUCAACUUCAAAAGAUACUAUCAAAAGAAAAGUAAGUUAUAUAAAUUCUAAUAGAAGUCCUUUUAAACAACUUCUUUUUGAGAUAGUAAUCUAUCCACAUCCUAUAAUCAACA